CUCAUAUUUGGCAUUAGCUGCCGCUGCCUAGGAAUUUCCCGUCAUGCCUCCCGGGGCGGCCGGCCCUGUCAUUCUGCUCCCGGGGGUGGGAAGGGAGGUGCUGCUGGGGUCGCCCCAUGCGUGCUCUGCCGCCCCCGCUGCUCCUCUCGCUCUGCCUGGUGGCUGCUGGCGUAGCAGCAGCUGCCUGACUCACAGGCUUUGACACAAGCCAGAUGGCUGCGAUUGGUAGGCGCACAGGCUGCCUGGUACUGCAGUUGAUGAAACAGAGUAGGAAGACGUUUUAUGAUCAGUUGCGGGAGCACAAUAAGACUGCAGCUUUGCUAGCUCUUGCCCCUGUUCUUUGCCUCUGGUUUUGUUGGUGAGGAUAUCACAGUGAUGUCUGCAUUCAACCUGCUGCAUUUGGUGACAAAGAGCCAGCCAGUGGCCCUGCGAGCCUGUGGGCUUCCCUCAGGUUGAAUGGGUGCUGCUUGUUGUGUCAUGCACAUUGAGGGCCCUUUUAGGAAUGGGUGUCUCUGCUGCAGGAAAUGAUACACUAUGGUUUACUAAAUUUAGUUGUAAUUUAUUAGAGUUCUCUGUUGAAGCUGGAAGUUUGUUAUAAAUCACUGCUUUGCUUUUAGUGUGUUCAUAGCCUAGAUUUUAGAAUGCUUUGGAAACAUUAUCCAGCUUCCUUGCCCAAUAUGAUAUGAUAUAUCUCAAAUUUGAUAGCAUCUUCCUGUCCCCUGACACAGACUAUGCAGUUAGCCUGAAAAUCACAGUUGUAUUACAUAUUGCACACGGUUUUAAUAAGAAAUUGCUUAGCAGCAUUUAAUAUAUGAAAUAUUAUUAUUUAAUAAGUGUCUUAGGAAAAAGUUUUCAAAAUACUGUUCAAGUGCAUUUUCAUCUUUUUCAGCAUUUAUUCCUUUGGGUGUAUGAAAUUUUUAUUGUAAAUUUACUUUUAAUAAUAGUGCACACAAAGGUUCAUGCAGGAAGUGAUGUGAACUGUAAUGUAACUUUCUUCCCCUCACAAUGUGUACUUUAUUUAUGUGAUCCUAUAGUUCAAUCAAACAAAAAUGCUCCAUCACAGCUGCUCUUAUUUAGAAAUAACAUACACCUUUAAAAAAUACAGAGAGGAAUAACCACACUUCGUGUGUAAUGCCCUGCUCCUGCAUUUGGAUUUGCAAAGGCCGCCAUUUGGGCAUAAGGGCCCAUCCAUGUGAAUCUGACUGCAGGACCUUAGUCUAAAUGUUUAAUAUCAGCAUUUAAACAGUAACAUAUGUAAUAUCUUCAUAAGAUACCAAAUCUGACUAUUUGACAGGAAAUGACAACUUCAGUGGAUUAGUUUUUAGAAUUCAAAGGCUAUCUGGAAAUAGUUUUUAUUUUGACUUUUUUAAAAAAUAAGAUGCAGCUGUAAAUAAUCACUGAUUGAAACCCCAAGUAAUGUUCCAAUUUGGGCAUUUGUUAUGCACCCAUCCCUAAUGGGUAUAGGCACAAAAUACAACAAUUAAAGCAUCAUUUCUGUUUGCUAAUAUCAUUUAAGAGAAGCAUAUAGUAUAUGGAAGGAGUGUCAUAAACACUUUUGUGAUAGGACACAACAUUUAAGCUUAAUUGAUUUUUCUAGAGCUGAUUUAUAAUUUUAUUUGAACUAUCAAAACUGAGCCCCAGUUUUGUGGCAUAAGGGUCUAUUUUCCCUUCCAUAAUUCCCAGCAACCUAAACAGGAGUUAGAAGUGAACCUUGAUAAGGAGACAAUAAACCCCAUUGUGUCAGCCUGAUCUUUGCUUCCAAUUAUAUGUGCUGCUGAUCCAGGCUUCAAAUUCUGAAAACAGAGGACAAGCAAAUUUCCUAACUUAUUAUGCACCUUUGAUGUGAGCGCACACUGGUGAGACCUGCCUUAAAAUGAGGCAUUUACAGCUUUCCUGUUCAUUUUGUGCCUAUUCUAACAAGCAGAUCUCAAAGCUGGUCUGUUAGGAACAGAAUCCGAUAUUUCUAGUACAUAUCUGCUCAUGAAGCAUCACGUUAACCAUUUUGUCACCUGCGUUACCGGCACAAUCCAAUAUUAACAUGUUUUAUUAUAACUUUUAUAUCUCUGCAGUUUAUUUGUUUGUAUGAUCCAUAGCUACCCAAACUUUAACAGAUCAGUUACACUGACUACUUCAUAGAUGUAUAUUAUAAAACAAAAUUCAUCCACUGAUAGCAGAAUAAUGUAUAACUGCAUAUUUCAUGUGUUCUGAGAGGAAACUAAAUUUCCUAGACACUUAUAAAUUAAUGUUGGCUAAUUUUGUAUUCAAUUUGUUUAUGUGUAGUAGAGGUGGGGAACAGAACUAAAUGGUGAAGGGUACAUCAUAUAAA